rnacentral:rRNA from 1 species
UCACAAUGAACGCUGGCGGCGUGCUUAACACAUGCAAGUCGAACGAGAAAUCUUUAGCUUGCUAGAGAAAGUAAAGUGGCGCACGGGUGAGUAACGCGUGGGUAAUCUGCCUCCGAAUCGGGGAUAACAUUGCGAAAGCGAUGCUAAUACCGGAUAAAAUCUGGUUGGCUUCGGUGAACCGGAUCAAAGGUGGUCUCUUUAUAAAAGCUACCGUUUGGAGAUGAGCUCGCGUACCAUUAGCUAGUUGGUGAGGUAAAGGCUCACCAAGGCGACGAUGGUUAGCUGGUCUGAGAGGAUGAUCAGCCACACCGGAACUGGAACACGGUCCGGACUCCUACGGGAGGCAGCAGUGAGGAAUUUUGCGCAAUGGGGGAAACCCUGACGCAGCAACGCCGCGUGAGUGAUGAAGGCUUUCGGGUCGUAAAGCUCUGUCGGGUGGGAAGAACCCACCAAGUGUUAAGACCACUUGGUGCUGACGGUACCACCGAAGGAAGCACCGGCUAACUCCGUGCCAGCAGCCGCGGUAAUACGGGGGGUGCGAGCGUUAUUCGGAAUCAUUGGGCGUAAAGGGCGCACAGGCGGUUUUGUAAGUCAGAUGUGAAAUCCCGGGGCUUAACCCCGGAAGUGCAUAUGAGACUAUGAGACUUGAGUAUGG